AGCCUUGCUUACGAAUCCUUGGAAGCGUGUAAUCAAGCCCGACAUUAGCACCACUGCAAUAGGCGGCUACAUGGACAUUUUACUCCCCUUCCAUAGUCACCUACCCCUGCGUGCGAGAUCUGUGAACUGCCCUGCGCAGCUGUGCGCGAAGAGGUGUGCGUGCCUGUGUGUGUGUGUGUGGAUGAUCGACGAGCGUGCCGGCUACGAUGGAUCAUGAUUGAUCAUCACAGGAAACCG
rnacentral:misc_RNA from 1 species